GACAGAGGGUGCAAACGUUGUUCGGAAUUACUGGGCGUAAAGCGCGUGUAGGCUGCUCUGCAAGUCGGGUGUGAAAGCCCUGGGCUCAACCUAGGAAGUGCACUCGAAACUGCAAAGCUGGAGUCCUGGAGAGGAAGGCGGAAUUCUCGGUGUAGAGGUGAAAUUCGUAGAUAUCGAGAGGAACACCGGUGGCGAAGGCGGCCUUCUGGACAGUGACUGACGCUGAGGCGCGAAAGCGUGGGGAGCAAACAGG
rnacentral:rRNA from 1 species